AUUGAACGCUGGCGGCAGGCCUAACACAUGCAAGUCGAACGAGUGGCGGACGGGUGAGUAAUGUCUGGGAAACUGCCCGAUGGAUGGGGAUAACUACUGGAAACGGCAGCUAAUACCGCAUACCAUCGGAUGUGCCCAGAUGGGAUUAGCUAGUAGGUGGGGUAACGGCUCACCUAGGCGACGAUCGCUAGCUGGUCUGAGAGGGUGACCAGCCACACUGGAACUGAGACACGGCCCAGACUCCUACGGGAGGCAGCAGUGGGGAAUAUUGGGCAAUGGACGCAAGCCUGAUGCAGCCAUGCCGCGUGUAUGAAGAAGGCUUUCGGGUUGUAAAGUACUGUCGGCGGGGAAGCGUUACUCGCAGAGGAAGCACCGGCUAACUCCGUGCCAGCAGCCGCGGUAAUAC
rnacentral:rRNA from 1 species